AUAAAUAUUGUAUCUUCGCCCUAAUAAGGAACCGAGAGCUUCUUUCAACGUUUUCGACGCUUUUUUGUGGACAUUUUCCCCCGUUUUUUGACUCGUUUGUGUUUUCACCGGCUCUGCUCCUCGCUUUUCGUCGUGAUAUCCUCAUUUUUUUUUUUACUAGCAGCUGUAAAGUCGUGUAACUAAAUACGUGCGGAUUUUCGACAAAAGUGGAGAAGAAGGCUGCCACAGCGCAAAACCUGCAGAGUAUUCUGGAGCUAAGGGUCGGGCCUGGGGACCUUGAGUGUCAGUCUGUGGGAUUCCAACGGGGGAACUGCCAGCCACUAGGCCGCCACUCCUUCACUCCAAAACCGGCUCCUGAACUACAAAAGUUUACUGCAACAUUGAAGUUUGGAAUCCUCCGGAAUAAAACAAAAACCUCUUUGUUCA